CCAUCUGAGCCACCCAGGCGCCCCGUGUUGUACCUGUUCUUAUCAGUUUAAUACCUGAUAGGGCCUCUAUCCGAGGACAAGAUAUUAAAUGGAUUUUUGGUGCUGGCAGCUGGAAUAGGAGCUUGCUCCGUCCACUCCGCGCUUCCAUCUGGCAUUGCAGGACUUCUGGGAACAGUGCACCCCCU
ensembl:snRNA U2 U2 spliceosomal RNA